rnacentral:lncRNA from 1 species
GAACACAAAAUGGCGACACGUGGUUAGCAUUCGUCGCCAACGAGAAAUUGGGGUCGGCCCGAAAGCUCUAGAAUGCACCCCUCUUCCUCCCCGGGGCCUUCCACCUCCGCGAGUUUUAUGACUUAAAAAAGCCCACAGGCUGGUCUGAAGAGGAAGACAAACAUAAAGAUGAAGUGCUUAAUUCAAGGUCACACAAUGUCGGGGAUGGACCUCCAGAUUUCCUUACUGGAAAACAAGCUCAGGGCUCCCACUGAUUGUACAUUAUGAGACGGAGUCUUGCUAUGUUGCCCAGGCUGGUCUUGAACUCCUCACCUCAAGCGAUCCUCCCGUCUUGGCCUCCCAAGUGUCAGGAUUACGGGCAUGUGCUAUCACACCCAACCUGAUACAUUGCCUUUAUAAAUUUUUUUUUCUUUAUUCUAAAAACCAGAAAAAACAAAACUGGAUACAUGUGCAGAACAUGCAGGUGAGACGUGGUCUUGUAACACAGUGGUUAAGAAUGUGACUUUGGAGCCAGCCUGCUAGGGGCUGAAUUCUGACUCAGCCAUUUACUAACUGUGUGACCUUAGGCUGGAGUGCAAUGGCAUGAUCUCGGCUCAUCACAACCUCUGCUUCCUGGGUUCAAGCGAUUCUCCUGCCUCAGCCUCCCGAGUACCUGGGACUACAGGCACUCGCCACCAUG